CCCAAAGUCAUGGUUAAGUGGGAAACGAUGUGGGAAGGCCCAGACAGCCAGGAUGUUGGCUUAGAAGCAGCCAUCAUUUAAAGAAAGCGUAAUAGCUCACUGGUCGAGUCGGCCUGCGCGGAAGAUGUAACGGGGCUAAACCAUGCACCGAAGCUGCGGCAGCGACACUUAGGUGUUGUUGGGUAGGGGAGCGUUCUGUAAGCCGUUGAAGGUGGACUGUGAGGUCUGCUGGAGGUAUCAGAAGUGCGAAUGCUGACAUAAGUAACGAUAAAGCGGGUGAAAAGCCCGCUCGCCGGAAGACCAAGGGUUCCUGUCCAACGUUAAUCGGGGCAGGGUGAGUCGCACCCUAGGCGAGGCCGAAAGGCGUAGUCGAUGGGAAACAGGUUAAUAUUCCUGUACUUGGUGUUACUGCGAAGGGGGGACGGAGAAGGCUAUGUUGGCCGGGCGACGGUUGUCCCGGUUUAAGCAUGUAGGCGGAGGUUCCAGGUAAAUCCGGUACCUUUUAACGCUGAGGUGUGAUGACGAGGCACUACGGUGCUGAAGUAACAAAUGCCCUGCUUCCAGGAAAAGCCUCUAAGCAUCAGGUAACACGAAAUCGUACCCCAAACCGACACAGGUGGUCAGGUAGAGAAUACCAAGGCGCUUGAGAGAACUCGGGUGAAGGAACUAGGCAAAAUGGUGCCGUAACUUCGGGAGAAGGCACGCUGGCACGUAGGUGAAGCGGUUUACCCGUGGAGCUGAAGCCAGUCGAAGAUACCAGCUGGCUGCAACUGUUUAUUAAAAACACAGCACUGUGCAAACACGAAAGUGGACGUAUACGGUGUGACGCCUGCCCGGUGCCGGAAGGUUAAUUGAUGGGGUUAGCGGCAACGCGAAGCUCUUGAUCGAAGCCCCGGUAAACGGCGGCCGUAACUAUAACGGUCCUAAGGUAGCGAAAUUCCUUGUCGGGUAAGUUCCGACCUGCACGAAUGGCGUAAUGAUGGCCAGGCUGUCUCCACCCGAGACUCAGUGAAAUUGAAAUCGCUGUGAAGAUGCAGUGUACCCGCGGCAAGACGGAAAGACCCCGUGAACCUUUACUAUAGCUUGACACUGAACACUGGUCCUUGAUGUGUAGGAUAGGUGGGAGGCUUUGAAGCGUGGACGCCAGUCUGCGUGGAGCCGUCCUUGAAAUACCACCCUUUAAUGGCUGGUGUUCUAACGUGGACCCGUAAUCCGGGUUGCGGACAGUGUCUGGUGGGUAGUUUGACUGGGGCGGUCUCCUCCUAAAGCGUAACGGAGGAGCACGAAGGUUGGCUAAUCCUGGUCGGACAUCAGGAGGUUAGUGCAAUGGCAUAAGCCAGCUUGACUGCGAGCGUGACGGCGCGAGCAGGUGCGAAAGCAGGUCAUAGUGAUCCGGUGGUUCUGAAUGGAAGGGCCAUCGCUCAACGGAUAAAAGGUACUCCGGGGAUAACAGGCUGAUACCGCCCAAGAGUUCAUAUCGACGGCGGUGUUUGGC
rnacentral:rRNA from 1 species